GUGCCAGCAGCCGCGGUAAUACGGAGGUGGCAGGCGUUACUCGGAUUGAUUGGGUGUAAAGGGUGUGUAGGCGGUGCGCUAAGUCGAAUGUGAAAUCCCUUGGCUUAACCAAGGAACUGCACUCGAUACUGGCGUGCUUGAGUGAUGGAGAGGAAAGUGGAAUUCCCGGUGUAACAGUGAAAUGUGUAGAUAUCGGGAGGAACACCAGUGGCGAAGGCGACUUUCUGGACAUCUACUGACGCUGAAACACGAGAGCAUGGGGAGCAAACAGGAUUAGAUACCCCCGUAGUCC
rnacentral:rRNA from 1 species